GCUGGCGGCGUGCCUAAUACAUGCAAGUAGAACGCUGAAGGAGGAGCUUGCUCUUCUGGAUGAGUUGCGAACGGGUGAGUAACGCGUAGGUAACCUGCCUGGUAGCGGGGGAUAACUAUUGGAAACGAUAGCUAAUACCGCAUAACAGUAGAUGUUGCAUGACAUCUACUUGAAAGGUGCAAUUGCGUCACUACCAGAUGGACCUGCGUUGUAUUAGCUAGUUGGUGAGGUAACGGCUCACCAAGGCGACGAUACAUAGCCGACCUGAGAGGGUGAUCGGCCACACUGGGACUGAGACACGGCCCAGACUCCUACGGGAGGCAGCAGUAGGGAAUCUUCGGCAAUGGACGGAAGUCUGACCGAGCAACGCCGCGUGAGUGAAGAAGGUUUUCGGAUCGUAAAGCUCUGUUGUAAGAGAAGAACAAGUGUGAGAGUGGAAAGUUCACACUGUGACGGUAUCUUACCAGAAAGGGACGGCUAACUACGUG
rnacentral:rRNA from 1 species